rnacentral:rRNA from 1 species
UACGUAGGGUGCGAGCGUUAAUCGGAAUUACUGGGCGUAAAGCGUGCGCAGGCGGCUUUGCAAGAUAGAUGUGAAAUCCCCGGGCUCAACCUGGGAACUGCAUUUGUGACUGCAAGGCUAGAGUACGGCAGAGGGGGAUGGAAUUCCGCGUGUAGCAGUGAAAUGCGUAGAUAUGCGGAGGAACACCAAUGGCGAAGGCAAUCCCCUGGGCCUGUACUCACGCUCAUGCACGAAAGCGUGGGGAGCAAACAGG